rnacentral:lncRNA from 1 species
CCAAACCCAAAGUAAAUUAUAGAUAUGAUCCCGUUCCAGAGAUAGAGAGACCUGAACCAGAAACAUAUUACAAACACCUCACCAAACCAAACUACGAAGUUCCCAAACCUGAAAUAGAUUAUGGGUAUAGUCCAACUCCAAAGGUUGAGAAGCCUAAGUCCGAAGAAGUUUACACAUCAAACCCCACAAAACCGGACUAUGAAGUUCCCAAAACCAAAAUAGAUUAUGGCUAUGCACCGGCUCCCAAGAUUGAGAAACCCAAGUCCGAAGCUGUUUACACACCAAACCCCACAAAACCGGACUAUGGAGUUCCCAAACCUAAAACAACCUAUGAAUAUGCCCCUGCCCCCAAGAUUGAGAAACCAAAGUCCGAAGCAAUUUACACACCAAACCCAACAAAACCAAACUAUGAAGUUCCCAAACCCAAAACAAAUUAUGAGUAUGCCCCAGCUCCCAAGAUUGAGAAACCAAAGUCUGAAGUAGUUCACACACCAAACCCCACAAAACCUGACUAUGAAGUUCCCAAAUCCAAAACUGAUUAUGGGUAUGCCCCGACCCCCAAAAUCGAGAAAUCCAAGUCUGAAGCAGUCUACACACCAAACCCCACAAAAUCAGACUAUGAAGUUCCCAAAACCAAAACAGAUUAUGAGUAUGCCCCAGCCCCCAAGAUUGAGAAACCAAAGUCUGAAGUAGUUUACACACGAAACCCCACAAAACCUGACUAUGAAGUUCCCAAAUCCAAAACUGAUUAUGGGUAUGCCCCGACCCCCAAAAUCGAGAAAUCCAAGUCUGAAGCAGUCUACACACCAAACCCCACAAAAUCAGACUAUGAAGUUCCCAAAACCAAAAUAGAUUAUGAGUAUGCCCCAGCCCCCAAGAUCGAGAAACCAAAGUCUGAAGCAGUUUACACACCAAAAUCCACAAAACCAGACUAUGAAGUUCCCAAAACAAAUUAUAACUAUGCCCCAGCACCAAAAAUUGAGAAACCCAGACUUGAUACAAAUUAUAAACUACUCCCCACAAAACCAGAUUAUGAAGUUCCAAAACCAAAAGAAAACUACGAAGUGCAACUGCCCACAAUCAUUAGUGUUCAA